GAAGUUUUACAUCUGGAACAGAGCAAAGAUCUGAACGAGCCCACGUGGAAAGCCCAAGGACGAGCUUUGCAUGCCUAGGGAAAUGCAAGUGCAAUCUGAGUGUUGUGGCUGUGUCUGGGGUCCACAGGAGGGUGGUCAGUGGUACACAGGAGAGGAGGACUGCAGGAGAGGCCUCAUGGAGAAGGAUCUUCCAGCUGUCCGAUAGGGCUCUGGAUAGGAUGGGAUUGAAUCCAGAACCUUUCUCAGAUCAGGUGAGGACUCUACCGCUACGUCUGCACCCUUACCAUAUGGCUUACCAGUGAUGCCCGGGCCUCUUGCUUCCUUGGCAGCUACAUGACAUCUACUGACUCUGCCUACUACCUUCCCUGUUUGGAUUUCCUGCCUGGCUAAAUCCUGCCUGCCCAUUGGUCAAAACAGCUUUAUUCGUCAAUCAAUAAGAGAAACUUAUAUUCACAGUAUACAGAAGGACAUGCCCCAUCAGUGUGCCUAUCACAACUCCUCCAUUCUCAGGGUGGAAGAUUUCCCAAACCAGAAAAUCCCCUGUCUUCAUGUCCAACCUUCACUUUCAUUUUAUAAGUAAAGCCAGGAUGAGUUAUUUCUGGAAUCCUUGCACUGCUCAGUCAUUUAACAAUGUCCCACUCCUUCCUUACCUCCCACUAAGCAGAGAAAGAGACCUUCACAUCUUACAUGUCUAUACUUAGAAACAGCCUUUGCCUUAGCACCUGUUGCUUGUUACCAAUUGGGAAGACACUGUCAUCUGGGGUCUCUGAUUCCCUGCCAUUCAUAGUUUUGAUCGAAGAAAAUUCAAAAGGAUCAUAUUUGAUCAAAAUAAAAUAAAAAUAAUUGCAAUCCCC
rnacentral:lncRNA from 1 species